rnacentral:tRNA from 1 species
GUGGCUGUAGCUCAGCGGUAGAGCGUCUGUUUGUGGAACAGAAUGUGGGGGGUUCAACUCCCCUCAGCCACC